rnacentral:rRNA from 1 species
CCUACGGGACGCAGCAGUAGGGAAUCUUCCACAAUGGACGAAAGUCUGAUGGAGCAACGCCGCGUGAGUGAAGAAGGGUUUCGGCUCGUAAAGCUCUGUUGGUAGUGAAGAAAGAUAGAGGUAGUAACUGGCCUUUAUUUGACGGUAAUUACUUAGAAAGUCACGGCUAACUACGUGCCAGCAGCCGCGGUAAUACGGAGGUGGCCAGCGUUGUCCGGCUUUAUUGGGCGUAAAGCGGGUGCAGGCGGGUUCAAUA